GGAGGGGGUAAAUAAGUUAGACUAAGUGCAUGCGGCACAGAGCAAAAAUUUGAUUUAAAGUUGAAAGACAUAAUUAAUGUGCGCAUAGAGAAUAUAUAAAAAUCGUUGUGAAAAUUCUGCAAAUAUAAAAGGGAACAUAAAUCCCAGAAAAACAAUCUGAAAAGUUUGGUGGCUGCAGCGAUACAAAAAAAAAAAACAAACCCUGGAUAAGGUACGCAAAGAAUUAAUGGAAAAAGUAACCUUAUUACAUAAUCUCAUGUAUAUACAUAUAAAUAGGUUAUGAACCACGUGGGGCAGUAUAACUGCUGACCUGGCCGUUCUGGGCCUGACCAUCGCUCUCGGACGUGGUCCACUCCAACAUCACGAUCAUCAGUCCCAUCAUUUUUUUGCUACAGCGAUCUCCUCAGUCUCUCCUAUCGAA
rnacentral:lncRNA from 1 species